UGGAUCCGUAAUCCGGGUUGCGGACAGUGUCUGGUGGGUAGUUUGACUGGGGCGGUCUCCUCCUAAAGAGUAACGGAGGAGCACGAAGGUUGGCUAAUCCUGGUCGGACAUCAGGAGGUUAGUGCAAUGGCAUAAGCCAGCUUGACUGCGAGCGUGACGGCGCGAGCAGGUGCGAAAGCAGGUCAUAGUGAUCCGGUGGUUCUGAAUGGAAGGGCCAUCGCUCAACGGAUAAAAGGUACUCCGGGGAUAACAGGCUGAUACCGCCCAAGAGUUCAUAUCGACGGCGGUGUUUGGCACCUCGAUGUCGGCUCAUCACAUCCUGGGGCUGAAGUAGGUCCCAAGGGUAUGGCUGUUCGCCAUUUAAAGUGGUACGCGAGCUGGGUUUAGAACGUCGUGAGACAGUUCGGUCCCUAUCUGCCGUGGGCGCUGGAGAACUGAGGGGGGCUGCUCCUAGUACGAGAGGACCGGAGUGGACGCAUCACUGGUGUUCGGGUUGUCAUGCCAAUGGCACUGCCCGGUAGCUAAAUGCGGAAGAGAUAAGUGCUGAAAGCAUCUAAGCACGAAACUUGCCCCGA
rnacentral:rRNA from 2 species